GCAUUAAUGGGGUAGUGGUAACCUGGGUCGUUGCCAUUACGGGAGCUCGACCCGCCGGGGGUUCGAUUCCCCCUUAAUGCA
rnacentral:tRNA from 1 species